CGAAGUUAAGCAUCAUUGGGCGCUGUCAGUACUUGGGUGGGUGACCACCUGGGAACACCGCGUGCCGUU
rnacentral:rRNA from 1 species